CAAGAACACACAGAACACUAUAUAACCAGGGCCGGCCUUAGACCUUAAGGCGCCCUGUGCGAAAAAUCUUCACAGCGCCCCCCCAUCAUACCCCUUUAUCCAUGUACUGUGUGUGUCAAUAGGUGGUGUAGUGUCUGUAUAUAGGAUUUAUUAAAUUAAUAAUUAUUUAAAAACAAAAAUGAUUCCCCCUUCCCUGUUGAUCCAGUAUACUGGGAAUCUGGUCGGCGCCUUCACCGGGUGCAAGACCAUAC